GAUGAACGCUAGCUACAGGCUUAACACAUGCAAGUCGAGGGGAAACGACAUCGAAAGCUUGCUUUUGAUGGGCGUCGACCGGCGCACGGGUGAGUAACGCGUAUCCAACCUGCCCACCACUUGGGGAUAACCUUGCGAAAGUAAGACUAAUACCCAAUGACGUCUCUAGAAGACAUCUGAAAGAGAUUAAAGAUUUAUCGGUGAUGGAUGGGGAUGCGUCUGAUUAGCUUGUUGGCAGGGUAACGGCCCACCAAGGCGACGAUCAGUAGGGGUUCUGAGAGGAAGGUCCCCCACAUUGGAACUGAGACACGGUCCAAACUCCUACGGGAGGCAGCAGUGAGGAAUAUUGGGCAAUGGACGAGAGUCUGAACCAGCCAAGUAGCGUGCAGGAUGACGGCCCUAUGGGUUGUAAACUGCUUUUAUAAGGGAAUAAAGUGAGUCUCGUGAGACUUUUUGCAUGUACCUUAUGAAUAAGGACCGGCUAAUUCCGU
rnacentral:rRNA from 1 species